rnacentral:lncRNA from 1 species
GUUCACCUUUUGGUUAAAAUCUGAUUAUAUGUCUGUGUUGUUAUAUAACGUAUAAUAGUAUAUACAACAGGUAUGAUAACAUUGGUAUUUUAGUUUGGACAACAUAUUAUUUAGAUAAAAAUGUUUGAAACCAACAUACAAAACCACUGCUAGAGAAAACUCAGUCACAGUCACCAUUAACAAACCAUUAAAUGCAAAUUUUACCUCAAUCAAUUCCAAACUGGCUGCUUAUUAAUAGUUAGUAAGGUAGUUGAUAAGUUUAGGUAUUGAGUAGGAUUAUGGAUGUAGAAUAUGGUCAUGCAGAAUAUGUGCUUUUUAAGUACUAAUAAACAGCCAAUAUGUUAAUAAUAGGCUUGCUAAUAAGCAGCUAUUUACUAGUGAGAAUUGGUCCCUAUAUUAAAGAGGUCAUACAGUAUGAUGUGAUUUCAAUUUUUCCUUUCUCUUUGGAGUGUUACAGGCUCUUGGUGCAUAAAGAAGAUAAUGCCGGUGUCUGUUUCUAUAAAGUGGGGCAAUUCGAACUUUGCAAGGACAGUCUGGCGCUUCUGACACAAGGUCUGCGCCCCUCUGUGGUCAUCUCCACCCCAUGUAAUCACAUGACGGGAAGAACAGUCACCUUGGAAAACAAAAGGUAAUAGUUGUUAAUCACUUUAAUGAGGCAUGACAACAUCACUGUCCAUUUCUCACCCACAGCAAGGGAGCGUGAUGGACCCUUUCUCACCCACAGCAAGGGAGCGUGAUGGACCCAAACUAGAUUAGUGAUUAACUGUGUUUGUGGCACAUUGUAUUUAACUCCACAAAGGUGCAGUGUCCCAUCAGCCUCUGCCUCCUGCUGGCCACGGAUGCCCUGGAAGCUGGAGACUCGGGGCUGGGAACGAGGAUGGUUAACGAAGGCAGAGAACAAGAGAUGGGGGAUGUCACCAGGCCCCCAGAGGGAAGUAGCCACGGCCUGUCUGGAUUCCCCACUGAGCUGCAAAAUGAGCAAGGAUGCAUGCACCUGAGCAGGCUGAGGAGCAGCCUCAGGCGCUGGAGAAGCUGUAGCCGUUUUUACUUACCGAGCCAAGCUCUGACACCCAGUCCUCGCAGAAGACAGAAGCGCUAGUGCAAAUCAAACCCACCAACCAUAAAUUACCACUUUCAAGCCUUCUUUAACUCUGGCUGCCCCCCUUUUCCUCUCUCCCAGUCUUUCUCGUGGCUCUCUACCCAUACAGACUCCCGAUGCAAUAUAAACUUGGCUGUCAAAGGGGCUUUUGUGAUGUGGCAAACUUGCCAUUGUAACGGACAGCUUGACAAAUGCAGAGGGUGGCGGAGCAGCGUGGACUCUUCCCUGAGCCCGACGGGUAUGUGGUUAGGGUGGGGGAGAUGGGCACAUGGUGACUUUCUCAAGGAUAAUGAGCCACUGAACGAUGGCUAAAAUGUUGCCGUCAACCUGCCCUUCUGCUACCGGCUAAUUAGAUAAUUAGCAAGGUCCUAAUUACGGGAUCAAGGUGCAGGGAAACAAUUAGCACGAAGUAUUGCCACAUAAAACGGAAAUUUACGUUCUGCCAGAGCAUAUUUAAUUUGAGUCUUCUACUAAAUAUCUACAUCCUCUCACAAACGAUCAUUUCACAAGUCCCUUAUGCAGUGAACGGAUGGUGUCAUUUGUGAAAGGUUAAUUUAGCUAGGCGCUAACUAAGAUUAGCAUAGAUAGGUGUUGAGUUGGAGGAUGUUUUUGUGGAAAAUUCUGUGGGAAAAUUGGAUAUGGAAAUGCAUUAUCUUACGGUCUCCCUUAUGCUGUUAAGGGAUGUGAUUUGUGAAAGGUUAAUUUAGCUUAGCGCUAUAAGAUUAGCAUAGAGAAGUGUCAGAUGGAGGAUGUUUACGUGGAAAAUACUGUGGGAAAAUUGUGUAUGGGAAUGUGUUAUUUUCAUAAAUAAUUUCCCUUAUGUAGUGAAAGAGUUGUGUCAUUUGUAAAAGGUUAAUUUAGCUAGGCGCUAACUAAGAUUAGCACAGAGAAGUUAUAUUUUGGAGGAUGUGAAGAAAAUACUGUGGCAAGAUUGUAAAUGGGUGUGUGUUAUCUUCAUAAAUAAUUUUGCUUUUGUAGUGAAGGAGUUGUGUCAUUUGUGAAAGGUUAAUUAAGCUAGGCGCUAACUACAAUUUGCAUAGAUAAGUU